rnacentral:rRNA from 1 species
CGAAGGGUGCAAGCGUUACUCGGAAUUACUGGGCGUAAAGCGUGCGUAGGCGGUUUGUUAAGUCUGAUGUGAAAAUCCCCCGGGCGUCAACCUGGGACCGUGCAUUGGAAACUGGCGAGCUAGAGUACGGUAGAGGGUGGUGGAAUUCCCGGUGUAGCAGUGAAAUAGCGUAGAGAUCGGGAGGAACACUCGUGGCGAAGGCGGCCACCUGGACCAGUACUGACGCUGAGGCACGAAAGCGUGGGGAGCAAACAGGAUU